UACGGAGGGGGCAAGCGUUAUUCGGAAUUAUUGGGCGUAAAGGGCGCGUAGGCGGCUGUACAAGUCAAAGGUGAAAUCCCUCGGCUCAACUGAGGAACUGCCUUUGAAACUGUACGGCUUGAGGCCGGGAGGGGGUAGCGGAAUUCCCAGUGUAGCGGUGAAAUGCGUAGAUAUUGGGAGGAACACCAGUGGCGAAGGCGGCUACCUGGACCGGUUCUGACGCUGAUGCGCGAAGGCGUGGGUAGCAAACAGG
rnacentral:rRNA from 1 species